rnacentral:rRNA from 1 species
GGAGGGUGCAAGCGUUAAUCGGAAUUACUGGCGUAAAGCGCACGCAGGCGGUUUGUUAAGUCAGAUGUGAAAUCCCCGGGCUCAACCUGGGAACUGCAUCUGAUACUGGCAAGCUUGAGUCUCGUAGAGGGGGGUAGAAUUCCAGGUGUAGCGGUGAAAUGCGUAGAGAUCUGGAGGAAUACCGGUGGCGAAGGCGGCCCCCUGGACGAAGACUGACGCUCAGGUGCGAAAGCGUGGGGAGCAAACAGGGAUUAGAUACCCUGGUAGUCCACGCCGUAAACGAUGUCGACUUGGAGGUUGUGCCCCUUGAGGCGUGGCUUCCGGAGCUAACGCGUUAAGUCGACCGCCUGGGGAGUACGGCCGCAAGGUUA